AUUCUUCCCAAUUUUCCCAGUAACCCGUCUGUCCUCCAGAUUAACAAACAAGUUCAGAGGAUCAGUGCCUUGCUCAGUCCACACCUCGGGUUGUGGCUGGUGAGCCAGGGCCGGGGGCUUCCACAUUUCCACUGUAUUUGCCACAUCAACACAAAGUCUCACCAAAUUCAGAAUAACUAAUCUCUGCAAAGGUCUAGCCUGGCGCAGUUUCCUCCCCUUGCAGACGAUUCCAGGCUCCAGGCCUACCCCCCUAACAGAUCCGGGAUGACGAGAACCCCUGGGGUCCACCAGCCAACCCAAGCUACACGCCUACCACGCCCAUUCUAUUCCACUUAGAGGAAAAGGAGAGCGGUUCAAAGGUUUAAAGCAUUUAUUGUGCUCCCGCAAAGGCUGACGGGAUGGAAGGAGGCGCGGGGCCGUCACGCGCCCCGAGCGACUGUUUGCCUCGCACCCAAAGGCGGGGGGCGGUGGGGGGAGGGAGGGGCUGGUGAGCUGGAAAGGACGGCGAGGAGGCCCUGGCUCCGGCUGUGACCGGCUGGUACGGCCUCCGCCAUUGGCGUACAGGAGCUGGUAACCAUGGCAGCAGCUGUCGCCAAAGGCAAGAGCCAAUGGGGGCGUUGCCCGGGCCAUUUCAAAAAUGUAAAGCAAACGACAACAAAAAAACGCUACAACGGCGGGGGAUGGGAGGGAUGAAAAGGGGAUGGACCGGCUGGAGCCACUCCCUGCGGCUCAGAACAGGCGUCGCGUCCCUGGCCAGGUUAAACGCACAACACCUCCAGACGGUUGGAGUAGAAAAACCGAACCGCGGAGAGACCCAGCUCGCUGGCGGCCCUUGGGAACUUUGCGGACGCUACACUUGGCUGCCUUCAAAACCUUCUUGCCCUCCAAAGCCUUUGAGGAAACUGUUAGUGAUAAUCACAUGGACCUGGAAGAAACUGCUAGUUUUUCGUCGCGGUUCCUUCGAGAAUGGCUGGAGCCCUUUCGUGACCCACAGAAUUUCCGUCAGUGGCCCAACUGCGGGUCUAUGCCUGAGCUGGGUCUCCACAGCCGCUAGCUGAAGGAAGGUGGUGGUUUUGGGCGGGGGGUUGACUGGGGCGAGAGGUUUCGCGGAGGGUGGUGGGUGGCAGAAUUCCUGGAAGGCACGGGGAGAGGCAGGGCCGCCUGGGCUGUGGCCCCAAGGCAUGGACCUCCUCUGCCCACGUACGUCUAGGGGAGGCACCGGUCCCAGGGUCAAGAGACUUUCGGUUGACUCAGCCAUCACUUGGAGCACGACUGGGGAUCUUCGUCGCCCCGCCUCACCGGAUUUCACCCUUCUCGCCGCCCAUCUGACCCCAUGCCCACCCACUGCGGUCCCGAUUGCGGUCCACAGAGGUGCUCCGGCGUGCGCGCCUCUCGCCAACCGGUAAGGCUGCCACUAGGGUGGUGGCUAUGGUGGCAGCUGGGGCAGCGGCGCAGGUUAUUGCGGCAGUGGCGGCAGCUACCUAGAGAUGUGGGACCUCGGGACCUAAGAAGAGGAAGGCAGACACGCUCUGCCCAUCUGUCCCGCGUCUCCCAGCCGUCCUCCUCUCCCCUCCCCGACUCCAGGAGCCCAACUCCGGGAAGUUGAAGCCGGGCUACCAACUGCUCAUGCGCGGGCUAGAGCGCCUCUGGCCUAACAAAGGCCACCGUAGUUGCUAAGCAACGUGGCCGCAGAGUUCUGAGGGAGCCGGAGCGCCUUCUGGUGGUGCAGAGGAGCAGGCACAGGCUGUUUCUGCUGCCUUAGAGAGGAGCUGUGGCCUAUGUUUUCCAGGGGAUCCUGCAGAAGGGAGGGAGGGAAGGAAGAAAGCGUGGUGUGAAGCAAGCCAUCUUCAGUCUGUGUCAAAAUGACCUUGCAACCCCACAUUGCAUGACCGAAGACGCUAGCCGGACAGGUCCUCAAUAGGAAAAGGUAAAGCAGUACCUCGCUUUCACAUUUCACAGUUGCGUUUAUUAGAGAUUAGGGGCAUAAUUUAACGAUGUGCCACGGUCCUUGCCUCCCUCCGCACAUGGAUAACAUCAGGGUCUCUGAACUUGUUUGAUAUAUAACCAAGAAAUUCUUGCUUCUGUUACAUUCAAUGUACAUAAUCUAGAGAAGAGCCCAGCUGUACUCUAUCCCUUUUUUUUAUAACCUACUUGUAAGUUUUUCUUUUUUCCUCUUCCCUUCAUGUCCAGUGUUUUGUGAAACAGAUAGAAAGUAGACUUAAAUUCACACACCUCAGAGCGGUUCCAUCAGAGCAGUCUGUUGAACUGUUUUCCAGGGGGUCAAACACCUCACGCUAAUCGUGGAAUAAGCUCCUUCACUAAUAUAACUUAGACUGUUCAUUUCAGUCGACAAAAGUAAAAAGGAAGGAAAGGAAGGUGGAUAGACGAAUGGGUGGUUAAAGGUCCCAAGAGUGGAGGAUGGCCUGGCAGGGGCCUGGCUGACUCAGCAGGAUCAGGAGACUAUCGGCGGUCAGACUUCCUCAAGUUGGCCUUGACGGUGUGCCUGGGACUGUCCGAAGAGGGGUCUGUCCAGUGGCCCCAAGAAGUGACUGCCUGUGUCCUUCUGGGUGGCUUUGUUCACUCAGGGGCUUCAGCAACUGGAGCCAUAAGCCGAGCCCGUGGAGCUGCCUGUCUGGGUGGGCACUGGGAAUGGGCACCCUGCUGUCUCCAUUCCUCCCGGUCACCUUGUGGCUGUGUUCCUGUGUUUCACUGCGUGGCUGAGUGUGAAUUAUUUUUCCUCCUUGAAGUCUCUCCUGGGCUUUCCUAAGGUGCGUCUGGCUUGGUAAUGGCUUCAGACUAGCAGUUGUAGGACGCCCAUGUCCGUCCAGAGAGGCACCUUUUCAAACAGAACACAAAAGACCUUAUCAGGAAUUGAUUUUACACUUGGAGGAAAAAUGCCAAAAGAAGUCAGAGAACGUGGUGAUAACUCCAACGCCCAAAGUAUCACACCUUCCCCCAAUGCUUCAAUCUUCUCUAACGCUGGUAACAUGAUCCAGAAGAAAGUGGAUUUGGGACGUCGGGACUGACUCCACUACAGAGUUGAUGGCCAACUCGCCCCAGACGCAAUGCCAGUUGAGCUGUCUGUUUUGGCCUACCAGCACUUCAUCUUCUGGCUUCCACUCUUUUCCCUGGGAAGUCCGACGCUGGGGGCUGGGUGCGGUGUUGGCCUCGCGGGGGUGGGAGUUCUUCGGUACCGGGGUUUUUCCUCGGAAACCCCUUACUCUCUCUCUCUGUCCUUUUUUUUUUUUCUUUGGCUUUGUCGACCCUGUCUCCAACCUUCUCAGACUUUGGGUGGGCACUCUGCAUGUUUCCUCUUGGGUCCUGGAUAGGAUAUUCUCCAUCGUGACCCCUCUGGGGGUUCUUCUUGCGGUGCAAAGCCUGGCUGGGGUCAUCGUGGUCAGUCUGGGGAUCUCCAGAGUCUGCCUCAGAAACACUCUCUGCAUCUUGUCUUGCCACCUCCCAAGGCCGCAGGUGUGCGAUGCGAUCUUUCUGUCCCCUGUGCUUGCCUUGGCUCUUCACUCUCUCGCGUGAUCCAGUGCUCCUCCGCUUGGCUGCACUCGUUCGGUCCCCGUGGGUUCACGUUUCCUUCCGCGGCGCCUCUCCUGUUCCUCAACCCUUCUGCUCAGCUCGUGGCUUUUGUUCUGCUUAAGUCACGGACACCCCUCUUUUCCGGUUCCUUGGUUGGCUUGGUUUGGUUUUUCAAUUCAGAAGAGAGACUGACCCUUCCCUAUCAAGACCGAGCACUUCCCUUCCUAGUCUCGCCCCGGCGCCUUUCCCGGACGCUCGUCCCUCCCCCUGCACCCCCUCCAGCAGCCUGUCUCUCGGCAUCAUUCACGUUCAGGGACAACGCGCCGCUUUUCCCUCGGGGAUCCGACGACUUCCGGUGGCCGUGCCCAGAGGUGGGGUGCUGCCCUUGCCGCCUCUUGGAACACGACGGGAGGGGCCCGAGCCCCCGAAAGGCCUGGAGAAGACCCUUCCUGACCAUCACACGAGCCUAGAAGAGACUGCUUCUUCUCCAAAGGGGAUCCUCUGAGGGCGGCUAGAGCCCUUUCAGGGUGAUCCCCACCGUGGAGGGGACAGAGGCCUGACAGGAGAAUGCCCGUCUGUGGCCCAAGCAGCCACCGAGGGUCUGUGCCUGGGCCGGGUCUCCACGGCCAGCUCCUCGACGGCCAUGCCCAGGUACCACCUGAGGGCAGGUGGUGGUUUUCGGGUGGGGUGAAAGGUGGGGAGGGGAGAUGCUUUCGACACCUUCCUGGAAGACCCUGGGAGAGGCAGGGCCCGCUGGGCUGUGGCCCCAAGGCAUGGGCCUCCUCUGCCCACGUCUAGGGGAGGCUCCGCUCCCAGAGUCAGUAGAUUUGCAGUUGAUCCGACCAUCACUUGGAGCGGGACGUGGGGACAUUCAUGGCCCCCGCCUCAGCAGAUUUCAUCUCUCGCACCCCAAUCCCACCCCAUUGCCCCCCACUGCCGUCCAGAUUCGGGUCCACAGAGCGGCCCGUCAUGCCCGGGUCUCACUCUAGUAAGACUGCCACCAGGGUGGCGGUCAUGGUGGCAGUUGGGGCUGAGGGUGUGGCAGCAGGGGCAGCAGUGGAUUUUAUGGUGACAGUGGAGGCAGCCACUCAGAGAUCUGGGAUCUCCGGGACCUUAGGAGGGAAAGGUGGAGGCACCCUGCAAGCCUGCCCUCCUCUCCCUUCCUUCCUCCUCUCCCCACCCCUGUCUACCCACUCAGGGAGCCCAGCCUCCUGCUGCUGAAGCCGGCCAAUCAACUGCGCAUACGCGGGCUCUCUGGAGCCUCGCAACGCCCGCUCCCUUUGCUAAGGAACUUGACCGCGAGGCUCUCAGGGAGCGGGCGCGCCCUCUGGCGGUACCUAGGCGCAAGCACAAGCUGUGACCGGUGAUUUCCUGAGGCGGCUGUGGCCCAUGUUUUCCAGUGGGUCCUUCAGACGCUUGGAUGACAGGAAGGAACAAGGAAGGACGGAGGGAGGUAAGAAGGAGGGAAAGAAGGAAGUUAGGAAGGUAAAAAAGAAGGAAGGGAGGUAGGAAGUUAGGUCAUAAGGGAGAAAAGAAAGAUGAAUAGAAGGAUGAAUGGGUGGUUGGGGCUCCCAAGAGUGGGGCAAAGCCGUUCAGGGGCCUGGCUGAGAAAGCAGCAUCCGGAGCCAGGCGGUGGGAUCCCUUCCUCAAGUCAGCCUGGAGGCUGUGCCUGGAACUGUCUGCCACACCCUCCAAGGGGUCUGCCCUGUGAGCCCAAGAGGGGACUGCCUGUGCGCUUCUGGGUGGCUUUGCUGGCUCAGGGACUUUGGCACCUGGAGCCACAGGCCGAGCCCAGGGAGUCACCAGUCCCCGUGGAGGGACGAGGCUUGCCCUCUGGGCCUGGGCACCCUGCCGUCCCCAUUCCUCACAGUCCCCUCGUGGCUGCGUUGCUGUCUUUCUGCUGUGUGACUGAGUGUGACUUGUUUUUCCUUCCUCCUUGAAGUCUCUCCUGGAUUUUCUUAAGGUGUGCCUGGCUUGACAAUUUCUUCUCACCGGCUGUUGUAGGAAGCCUCUCUCCAUCCUGAGACACACCUUUCCAAACACAAGAUCACGAGAAGACUCGAUCAGGAACUCAUUUGACACUUGGAGGAAAAAUGGCCAAAGAGCUCAGAGAAGGUGCUCAGGCCUCUAACAGGACCACCCUUCCACCCCCCUGCCCCCAGUGCUCAUGAUCAAGAAGAGGAGAGUUGUUUGGGAGAACAGGACCGACUCCACUGCAGACUUUAUGGCCAACUCGCCACUGACUCAUUGCCAGUUGAGCGGUGUAUUUUGGCAUACCAGCACUUCAUCUUCUGGCUUCCACUCUUUUUCCUGGGGAGUCCAACCCCGGGAGCCGGGGGCAUGGUUGGCCAAGGGGGGGGUGGUGUUCUUCGGGACCAGGGUUUUUCCUUGGAAAGCCCUCUUUCUUUGUCUUUUUUUUUCUUUUACUUUGUUGGCCCUGUCUUCAGCUUACUCAGACCUUGGGUGGGUGCUCUACACACUUCCUCUUGAGGUCCUGGAUAGAAUAUUCUUUUCUUUUUUUUUUUUUCAAGAUUUUAUUUUUCCUUUCUCUCCCCAAAGCCCCCGGGUACAUAGUUGUAUAUCUUAGUUGCAGGUCCUUCUAGUUGUGGCAUGUGGGAUGCCGCCUCAGCAUGGCUUGAUGAGUGGUGCCAUGUCCGCGCCCAGGAUCUGAACCAGGAAACCCUGGGCCACCUAAGUGGAGCGGGCGAACUUAACCACUUGGCCAGGGGGCUGUCCCCCAGGAUAGGAUUUUCUUGACCGUGACCCCUCUUGGGGUUCUUCUUGUGGUCCAAAACAUGGCUGGGCUCAUGGUCAGUCUAGGAAUCUCCAAGUAUUGCCUUGGAAACACACUCUCUCCAUCUUGUCUUGCUGCAUCCCAAUGCUACAAGAAUCCGUUGCGAUCUUUCUGUCCUUUGUGCUUGUGUUGGCUCUUCACUCUUUCCCAUGGUCCUGUGCUCCUCGCUUGGCUGCCCACGUUCUAUCCCUGUGGGUUCACUUUUCCUUCAGCGAUGUCUCUCCUGUUCUUCAACCCUUCCGCCCAGACUGUGGCUUCCAUUCUUCUUAAGUCACGGCUCUACCUCUUCUCCAUUUCCUUUAUUCGUUUGGUUUGGUUUUUAAACUCUGUAGAGAGACUCUCUUCUCUUUCUGGACUGAGCAUUUCCCUUCUGUGACUUAAUCACUUGUGUCUUUUGUGGAUGCUGGUAUCUCCCAUGUUCCUUUCCAUGAACCUAUCUUUUGGCACAAUUCACAUCAAGGAAAAUGCACCACUUUUCCCUUUGGGUUCUGAUGCCUUCUGGCUGGCGUCCCCAGAGGUGGGGUGCUGCCAUCACCAGAACUUGGAACACGAUGGGAGGGGCCUGAGCCUGGAAAGCACUUCAGAAAUCUCUUACUGACAAUCACACGGGCCUAGAAGAAACUGCUCCUUCUUCAGCGUGGUUCCAUUGAGAAUGCCUAGAGCCCUUUUAGGAUUAUCCCCACUGUGGAGGUGACAAAGGCCUGACACAGAGAAGUUCCUCAGCGGGCUAAGUGCCCAGCAACAGUCUAUGCCUUGGCUGGGUCUCCAUGUCCAGGUCCUCGACAAUCACGCCCAGGUACUAUCUGAGGGAAGGUAAUGGUUUUCAGGUGGGGCGAAAGGCGGUGGGGGUAGGGGAAAUGGUGUGUUCAACACAUUCCUGGUAGGCACUGGGAGAGGCAGGGACUCCUGGGCUGUCACACCAGGGCAUGGGCCUCCUCUGCCCACGUGUAGGGGAGGCAUUGGUCCCAGGGUCAGUAGAUUUGCAGUUGACCCGACCAUACUUGGAGUGAGACUUGGGGCAUCUUCAUGGCCCCUGCCUCACCGGAUUUCGUGAAAUCCCUCCUGCCCGUUAUCUGACCCCAUUUCCACCCACAGCGGUCCAGAUUCAGGUCCACAAAGGGGUCCGGUGUGCCCGUGUCUCACCACCCAGUAAGGAUGCCACCAGGUGGGCUGGCUGGCAGUGAUGGUGGCAAUUGGGGUGGAAGCUAGGGUGGCAGGGGGCAGUGGUUGAGAUUAUGGUGGUGGUAGAGGCAGCCACCCAGUCAUCUGGGAUCUCUGGAACCUGAAGAGAUGAAGGUGGAGGUACCCUCCCCACCUGCCCCCCUCUCCUGUCCUUCCUUCUCUCCCCUACCAUUGCCCACUCCCUCUGGGAGCCCAGCUUCCUACUGUUGAAGCCGGCCAAUCACCAGCCAUGACUACCCACAUUGCUAAGCAAUGUGACUAGGAGGCUCCUAGCGAGCUGGUUCGCCCUCUUGUGUGGCAAGGCGCAAGCACAGGCUGUGGCUGGUGCUUUCCUGAGGUUGCUGUGGCCCCAUGUUUUCCAGUGGUUCAUUCAGACAUUUGGAUGGAGAGAAGGAAAGAAGGAAGUCAGUAAGGAAGGAAUAAAGGAAGGAGGAUAGGAAGGUAAAAAAAGAAGGAAGGAAGUUAGGUAAAACAAAGAAAAGAAACGUAGACAGAAAGAUGAAUGGGUGGUUGGGGAUCCCAAGAGUCGGGGAAGGCUGGGCAGGGGCCUGGCUGAGAAAGCAGCAUCCGGAGCCAGGUGGUGGGAUCUCUUCCUCAAGUUGGCCCAGAGGCUGUGCCUGGGACUGACUGCCACACCCUCCAAGGGGUCUGCCCUGUGAGCCCAAGAGGGGACUGCCUGUGCACUUCUGGAUGGCUUUGCUGGCUCAGGGGCUUCAGCACCUGGAACCACAGGCCGAGCCCAGGGAGCCGCCUGUCCCAGUGGAGGGAUGAGGCUUGCCCGCUGGGCCUGGGCACCCUGCCGUCCUCAUUCCUCCCAGUGACCUUGUGACUGUGUUGCUGUAUUUUGCUGCAUGGCUGUGAAUUUUUGUUUUCUUCCGUGAAGUCUCUCCUGGGUUUUCUUAAGGUGUUCCCAGCUUGGACCAGCAGUUGCAGGAAGCCCUUCUCCAUCCUGAGAGACAUUUUUCCAAAUUCAAUAACACAAGGCCUUAUUUUAGACUUAGAGGAAAAAUGCGGAAAGAGAUCAGAGAAGGUGCUUAUGACUCUAAUGCCCCCCCUCCUCACCCUCUGUGCUAGAAUAUGACCUAACCCUAGGGCCAUUAUCAAGAGGGGGAGAGUGGCUUGGGGACGGCAGAAUCAACUCAACUGCAGAAUUUGUGGCCAGUUCACCACUGCCCCACUGCCAGCUGAGCUGUCUGUUUUGGCCUCCCAUCACUUCAUCUGGCUUCUGCUGUUAUGACUGGGAAGUUGGUCCCCCAGGUGUGGUGGGAACAAAAGUUAUUCCUUGGAAGAUGUUCUUUCUCCCUGUCUCUCUUUCUGUGUUUUCUUAUUUUUCUUUUUUGCCUUGUCUGCAAGCUUCUCAGACCUUGGGUUGGCUCUUGUGGCCCUGGAUGGGAUAUUGUUUUGUUUUGUUUUGUUUUUUGUCUUUUGUGGGUGUUUUUGAGGAAGAUUAGCCCUGAGCUAACAUCUGCUGCCAAUCUUCCUCUUUUUGCUGAGGAAGACUGCCCCUCAGCUAACAUCCGUGCUCAUCUUCCUCUACUUUAUAUGUGGGACACCUGCCACAGCAUGGCUUGACAAGCGGUAUGUAGGUUCACACCCAGGAUCCAAACCAGCAAACCCCAGGCCACCCAAGCAGAAUGCACGAACUUAAGCACUGCACCACCGGGCAGGCUCCUGGAUAGGAUAUUCUUGAUCAUGACCCCUCUGGGGGUCUUCUUGCAGUCCACAGCAUGGCUUGGGGUCAUGGUCAGUCUGGGAAUCUCCAAAUACUGUCUCAGAAACACACUCUCUCCAUCUUUUUUUGCUAUAUCCCAAUCCUCCAGGUGUCCGACGUGAUCUUUCUCUUCUCCGUGCUUGUGCUGUCUCUUCAGUAUUUUCCAUGAUCCUGUGCUCCUAUGCUAGGGUGUAUGCAUUCUAUCCCAGUGGAUUCAGUUUUCUUUCAGCUGUGCCUCACCUGUGUAUUGCCUAGUCUCUUCAAAACUCAUUGUCAUGGACUAAAGAGGUGUGUAGCUUGGAGGGCUGAGGAGAGGUAUUGGCAUGCUUUUAAUAAUAUAAGUGGUCCCAGAUGGAGGAUUUGAGAAACAAGAAGGAAUGAUGAACAAAGAAAAUGCUAAAAUGUGUGUAAGUAGAAAACAGUAUUGACAGUGGAACAAAAUAGCAGAAAUGACUGACAGCAUUUAAAAAGACAAUGAAAGGGCCGGUCUGGUGGUGUAGUAGUUAAGUUCGUACUCCACAUCAGCAGCCCAGGGUUCCCAGCUUCAGAUCCCAGGCACAGAUCUACAUGCCACUCAUCAAGCCAUGUUGUGGCGGCAAAAUAGAGGAAGACAGGCACAUACAAAAUAGAAGAUGAUUGACACAGAUGUUAGUUCAGCAACAAUCUUCCUCAAGCAAAAAGGGGAAGAUUGGCAACAGAUGUUAGCUUAGGGCCAAUCUUCCUCACUAAAAAAAUGUAUAUAUAUAUAUAUAUAUAUAUAUAUAUAUAUAUAGACAGUGAAAAUACUGGAAAACAGUGGCAUAUAAUUCAAGAGAUUGGUGUGGGUUUGAUUUAAAUUAUUUCAAGUCCCUUUAUUGUUACAGAUAGGCCUAAUGUUUUGAGAUUCAGAUUUAGUAAGCUGUAAGAGACCUGAAAUAAUUGUUCCUUAAAACAAGAUAAAAACUUGGGCCAGCCCCAAGGCCAAGUGGUUAAGUUUGUGUGCUCUUCUUCGGCCCCCAGGGUUCACCAGCCCAGGUCCUAGGCAUGAACCUACACACCAUUCAUCAAGACAUGCAGUGCUGGCAUCCCACACAGAAGAACUAGAAUGACUUACAACUAGGAUAUAAACUAUGUGCUGGGGCUUUGGGGAGAAAAAAAAAAAGAGGAAGAUUGGCAACAGUUGUUAGCUCAAGGUCAAUAUUCCUCACCAAAAAGUAUACCUUUAAAAAAAAUAAGGUAACUGAUUUUUCUAUCCUCACAUUUAGUAGUCUGCAGUUAGGUAGUACAGGACUGGUGUAGAUCUUCUUUCUUGUUUUCCAUCACCCUGAGGAUGGUGACCUUAUUCACCCAGCCCAAGAUGGCACACCAUCACAUUCACAUCCCAAGGAGCCAAGUGGAGGAGGGGGCAAAGAGGCACAUCAGUUUACUUUAAGAACAGGAAUCUGAGGUUGCACACAGUACCUUCUGUCACGUGCUCCUGGCUAGCACUUACUAACGUGGACAGACGUAGCUGCAGAGCUAGCUGGGAAAUUACCAAGAGUUAUGACAUCCAGCACUGGUGAUGAAGCAAGUAAAUGAAUAUUGAACCAUUGCUUUUGAGGAAAUAUUAUAAUGACAUUUAGAACUUAAACUUUGAAUACCUGUUUAAAAAUCUAGGGCUUCUGUUUUCAGCUCUGACAUUUCAGGAGCUUAGAAGCCAUCGCUUCUGUCCUUACAACAAGAGAAAAAACUGAACAAACUGAAAAUGAAUGACUUUUCUUAAACCUAUCAGAGAAUUGAGGUCACAGGGAAAGCCGCCACCCUGAAUUGUGGAGAGAUGGAAAAAUGUGGGUGAUAACAACCAAGAUCAGUUUACUUGGAGCAAAAGCCACUGGAGCCAUAAACUGUUAGGAUCACUUAAAUGAUAAUUUUGAUGAAUUGCUGAAGGAAACCAUGUAAGCAAGAAGACAGUGGAGUGAAAUAUUUAAAGUGUUGGGGGAAAAGACUAGAAUUCUACAUCCAGUGAAAUCACCCCUCAAAAUGAAGGAGAAAUAAAACCUUUCUCAGAGAAACAAAAAUGGAAAGAAUUUGUUGCCAGGAGGUCUGUCUUGCGAGAAAUGUUAAGAGAAGUUCUUUUGAGAGAAGGAAAAUGGUAUAGGUCAGAAGCGAAAGGAAGGAAGAUUGUCAGAGCAGGAAUAAAUGAAGGUAAAAUAAAAUCUUUCAUUUUUCCUACUGUUUGUUGACCUAAUAGAUAUCUUUUAAAAGUAAUAAUAGUAAUGUGUUGAAUUAUUACAGCGUAUGGAUAAGUGAAAUCAAUGGCAGCAGUGUUAUAAGGGAUGGGAGAGAAGAAUUGGGAAUACUCUGCACUACCUGUAAGCAGUAUACUCUUAUUUGAAAGUGGACUUAGAUUAGUUGCAAAUGUACGAUUCAAACUCUAGGGCAACCACUAAAAAUUUUUUUAAAACUAUAAUUUAUAUGCUAUGAGAAAAGAGAAAAUGGAAUAAUAGAAAAUACUCAAAACCAGAGAAAGCAGAAAAGGAGAAGAGAAAAAAGAAAACAAAGAACAAAUACAGUGAAUAGAAAACCAUUACAUUAAUAGUAAUAUUGACAGUACAUUAACAGUAAUAUUAAUCCAACUCUAUCAAUAAUCACUUUAAAUGUAAAUCAUCUAAAUACACUGAUUAAGAGAAAGGCUGUCAGAGUGGGUUUUUAAAAAAGACUCAACUUUGUGUUGUCUACAAGAAAUCCAUUUUUAAAUAUAAAGCCGCAAAUAAGUUAAAAGUAAAGGGGUGGAAAAAUAUAUACCAGGCUUAAUCAAAAUAAAAUAGGAGUAGCUAUAUUAAUUACAGACAAAACUUAUUUCAGAACAAGGAAAAUUACAAAGGGAAAAGAAGACAUUACAUAAUGAUAAAGGAGUCAAUUCCCCAAGAAGUCACAAGAAUCCUUAAAGUGUAUGCACCUAUGAGCAGAGUGUCAAAAUACAUGAGGCAAAAACUGAACUAUAUUGAUAAUAGCCAAAAAUGGAAACAAUGAAAAUGUCCACCGACACAUGAAUGGAUAAAUAAAAUAUGCUAUAUCCAUAAGAUAGACUGUUAUUUGGCCAUGAAAGGCAUGAAGACUGAUACUUGUUACAACAUGGAUGAGCCUCAAAAACAUUAUGCUAAGUGAAAGAAGCCAGAAACAAAAGGCCACCUAUUGUAUGAUUAUUCCAUUUAUAUGAAUUUUCCAGAAUAGACAAAUCCUUAGAGACAGAAGGCAGAUUUGUGGCUGCCAGGGACACUGGGGAUGAGGGAAUGGGGAGUGACUGCCUAAUGGACAUGGGGUUUCCAUUUGGGGUGAUGAAAAAUUUCUGGAACUAGGUGGUGGCGAUGAUUGCACACCGCUCUGAAGGUACUAAAUGCCACUGAAUUGUACACUUUUAAAUCGUUCAAAUGGUAAGUUUUAUGUAUGUGAAUUUUAUCACAAUAAAAAUCACUGAUAAAACUGUAAGGAGAGGGGCUGGCCUGGUGGCGCAGCAGUUAAGUUUGCAUGUUCCGCUUCUCGGCGGCCUGGGGUUCGGCAGUUCGGAUCCCGAGUGCAGACAUGGCACCGCUUGGCAAAAAGCCAUGCUGUGGUAGGCAUCCCAAGUAUAAAGUAGAGGAAGAUGGGGACGGAUGUUAGCUCAGGGCCAGCCUUCCUCAGCAAAAAGAGGAGGAUUGGUGGCAGAUGUUAACUCAGGGCUAAGCUUCCUCAAAACAAAACAAAAAGAAUAAAAAUAAUAAUUUAAAACGUCAAAGUUUUCAGAUGAAAUUCUAAUGAAAGUGUACAGUUAGCUGUCCUAUGAUUUUCAAAGGGUUAGUUGGAAGUCUCCAUUUCUGUAUGGACCGUGUCCCAAGCAUUACUAGGUAGGGUGUGUAGGGUUUUGCUAAAGUAAGAAGGAUGGAUACAUGCUUUAUUUAAUCACAUUACAUUGGGCUUUCUCUUUGGAUUUAGUGUAAAUGUCCUCAAACUUUGCCCAAAGGCAACAUAGAUUUUGGUUAGUUUUGUUUCUGGGAAAAUUUGAUGGUUUUGAGGCCUGUAGACCAGGGAGAAUGGGUUCAAGAUCUCUAGUAAGAAAAUCCCACGUCCUAUUGAUCUUCACUGGGCCUGGUGACAAGUCCUUUCACGAGGAGUUGAGUGGGGACUGGGUGUGCUGAACCAAGUUGAAAUGUGGAAGGCAGAGGCCCAGACUCUUGGGGUACAUUAUUUCCAACUCAGAAUUGUGCAAAUGAGGGAGACAGAACAGAGAGGGGAGACAGCAAGUGAAGGAAGGGUCAGUGCUAUUUUAAGAUUGAAAUCAACUUUAAGGACUUAUGAAGUCUUCAGAGCACUUAAAAUCAAAUAAAUGCAGUAAAAAAACAUACAGCCUACGUUAAAAGUAUUUUUACAUAUCUAUAUAAAAUUGUAUUAGUAUAAACCUGCCAAAUGGAAUUUUAGAUUGAUUAUAAAUGGUAAUGUUCAUAUUGUAGUUCUCAUAUUUUAAAGCCUGUACAUAGGUCUGAAAUAUUAUUAGGGCCUUGGUUAGUCCCUAUGUAUCAGGCUGUUUGCCCACCAUUACUUCUUUCCUUUACUCUAUCCCUGACUCAUGUCACUAAAACUUCCCCACCCACUUCAUUAAUGACAAAAGGUUUUUUUACUGUUUCUCUUUUUAAAAACUGAGGUAAAAUUUACAUACAGUAAAAUAUAAAAAUCUUAAGUAUGCAUCAUUUGUAUAUAAUUGUGUAUCCUCCACCCUGAUCAAGAAAUCGAUUUCUCCAUUCCCUCAGAAUGUUCCCUUGCCUCCUUCCCAGACAGUAACCACCACCCACUUCUGAGAUAAUCACUCUGCUGACUUCCAUCUCCAUAGAUUAGUUUUGCUUGUUUUAGAACUUCAUAUAAGUCUUUGGUAUCUGCCUUCAUUUGCUCAGAUAUUGUGAGAUUCAUCCAUGUUGUUGUGUAUAGUAUUAGUUUGUUUCUUUUUAUUGCUGACUAAGGGUACCACAAUUUGUCUAUCCAAUCACCUGCUGGUGGAUAGUUGGAUUGUUUCCAGUUUGGGGCUCUUACACACAAAGCUCCCAUGAAUAUUUGUGUACAAGUCUUCGUAUGGAGCUAUGUUUUCAUUUCUCUUGGACAAAUACCUUGGAGUGGAUUGGCUGGGUCCUAUAGAGGGUAUAUGUUUAUGAAAGUUCUUAAUUUUUGAUGCUAUUAAUUCAGCCUCAGUAGUUUCAUUUUUCUUAGCUUGGCAAGCCAUGGAAAAUUAGCCACAGUGGCAAUUUAUACUGAUAGUCUUGUACACCAAUAAAUACAGAUGAGCGUCAGCUGUACCAGGCUUUUGGCAGAGUGCCAGUGUAAAAGCUAAGCCACUGCUUCAGCAGCUGUUUCUGAGGCAUAAUUAGAGGCUGUUUUGGAUAACCAGCUGCUAUGUAUCCUCUAGCUAAAUUUAACAAUGGAGAACAACCUGAGCACCAUUUUACGUAAUACUCCCAACAGCCUCUGUUAAAUGAGCUUGGCGGACAGCUCUACUAUGACUGGAGCCCCAUUCCAAAGUCGUUUCUUACUACUGGUGAUACCUCUGCAUGUAUUAGGGAGGCCCAAGUCACAUACAAAUUUGCUGUAUUAGCCUCAACCUUGGUGAAGUUUUUCUUUCUUGUUGCAUGUUGGACAAUAGCUUUCUAAGGUCUCCUCGUGUCUAACAUGCAAGUAUGAUUUCUGCUAUGUCUAGGAGUUGCUUAAAGGGACAAAUACUGAGGCUAGGGAAUAAAUUAUAAGUAUUAUCUGAAAUAUGAGGCAACUGAACUGGUCUGAUCUUUAAAUCAAAAUGAUGAAGUGAAGGUGAACACAACAGGUUUACAGCAGAAGGCAAUAAGACAUGUCCCCCGGGAUGGCUGAUGCCCCUAGUGUUCAAGGUGGAAGUGGGGCACCUCUGAAUAAAAGAAUUUUUCUUUUGCACUCUCUUAGUUAGGACACUGGUCCAGUCCUUAGUUGAGUGGGGGCAUUCAAGUACUAUGGGAGGGAGAUUACUGCUGGGCUUGAAAUUUUCAUUAAGGAGGUAAAUGUGCUCCUAUUUUCUUGGGAGUCUUCGGUCAUAUCAAUUAGAAUACAGAAAACCAUUUAGCUAUUUCUUCAAGGAAGACCAAGUAAACAUCCCAUCCCAUCAUUUGUUUUGUAAAGUAGUGCUUCUCAGGGCCAGCCCCGUGGCUGAGUGGUUAAGUUUGUGUGCUCUGCUGCAGGUGGCCCAGGGUUUCGUCAUCGGUUCAAAUCCUGGGUGUGGACAUGGCACUCAUCGAGCCAUGUUGAAGCAGUGUCCCACAUACCACAACUAGAAGGACCCACAACUAAGAAUACACAACUAUGUACCUGGGGGCUUUGGGGAGAAAAAGGAAAAAAAUAAAAUCUUUUUUUUUUUUAAAGUAGUGCUUCUCAAACUGUGGUGAAAGACAAUUUUUUUUCUUUCCUUUAUAAAAAUUUGCAAUCUGUUUUGAACCAAGACUUUUUGGAAAAUAUAUAAACACAAAUUGCUUGAAAAAUAAGAAAAAGACAUACAAGACACAAGCCCCAUUUUAUUUUUAGUUUCAACAGACAUAAAAUUAGAUUUUCAUAAAUAUAACCAGAAGAAGCAUAACAGAGAAAAAAAUAAUAUAAAAAACUGUUCACAUUGUUCGUUAACAAGUGCAUAGGGGUGAAUGAUAUACAGAAUUACUAUUACACUAUUACUAUUAACUUUUUAUCCAUAAUCAUAACCAAACAAAAUAUAAGGGAAAUAAUUCUCCAUACUAUGUCUAUACACACAGUCUGAAUGAACGUCAUGUAUAACAUUUUUCAAAGUUUCAGUGACAAAUGAGCUAUUUAAGUUGUGGAGUAGGAACUCUCUCCUGUGCUAUCCAACCCCCACCCGUCACCCUCACCUUUGUCCACAGGCCCCAGCAUCUACCCUCUUUCUUUUUCCCUGGUAAGAAAUGCUCCAUUUAAAGUAUUGCCAGCCUCUGCCCCUCCAGGAAGUCUUACUUUGGCCCUUCCUCACAGGUUUUGCCAGGGGUUCCUCGCAGGAGUGAUUUUUGUUCCUGAGGCCUUGUCCUUUUACUUCCCUCCAAAGAAUCUGAUUUGCAGGUAUCUUUAGUUCUAAAUGUGAUUUCUGCCCAUGUCUUAAGCUCAGAAACAUUGUCUCUUUACCUGGAAUCUUCACUCUGGGAAUCAAGUUUGUAUCUUUCCUACAAGAAACCAAUUCUCUGGUUGUGGGUACUUGUGUUAGACACUGAUGUUUGACAGACACAACAGACAGCCUCAGCCCACUUUUUCUUUGCUGAUUUCCAUUAUAUAUGUUGGAGGAAUUCAAUAUUUUAUUUCCCAGCCUACCUUGUAACUAAAGAAGACCACGUGUCAUGAAUCUGGCCAUCAGAUAUAAGCAGAAAUAUUCGUGGGUGAGGGGUGUUUGAAAGUAUUUGCUUUCUUCAUAAAGGGAUACAAUCAGCUAGCACAGUACUUGCCCUUAAUUUUUGCCAACAGCAGAGACCAACCUUGAGUCCCCGAUAUGGCACCAUUCCCUGUGAGGACCAGCCGGCCAUGUGGCAGAAGGUCGAUUACAUUGGACCUUUUCCAUCAUGGAUGGGACAGAGAUUCAUCCUCACAAGUACAGACACAUAUUAUCUUAGGUUUUCUUUCCCUGCCUGUGAUGUUUCUGCCAGCAUCACCAACCACGGACUCACAGAAUGCUUUAUCCACCAUCUUGGCAUCCCACACAGCCUUUUGUCUGAACAAAAAACUCAUUUCACAGCAAAGGAAGUACGGCAAUGCAUGCACGCCCAUGGAAUUAACUUUCUUACCCCAUGUUUUGCUACCUGGAAUCAGCUGGCCCCACUGAAAGGUGGAAUGACUCACUGAAAAUUCAGUUACAGUGCCGGUUGGAGAUAUCACCCUGAAAGGCUGGAAUUCUGUCUUACAGGAUGCAGAAUAUAUUUGAAUCAGAGACCAUUAUGGCCUCUCCCACACCCUAAUACAUGCUCCAGGAAUGAAGGGGUGAAGUGGGAGUGGCUUCUCUCACUAUAACACCUAAUAGCAGACUCACAGAAUUUGAGCUUUGCUGCUAUGGACAUAUUAGUCCCCAAGGGGGCAAUGUUUCCACUGGGGGACAUACCGGUGGCAAUGGUCGUACUGAAUUGGAAGAUGAGACUUCUUUCUUGAACAUUUUGGGCUCCUUGUAACACUGACCUAAGAGGAAAAAAAAGUUAAGCUACUGGAUGGACUGAUUGAUCCUAAUUACCAAGGAGGAUCAGGUUACUGCUAUACAAUUGAGGUAGGAGGGCUAUGUCUGAAACCCAGGAGAUUCUCUGGCAUUCCUCUUAGUACUUCUCUGCCCAAUAGUAAAGGUUAAUGGGAAAAUGACAGCAAUAAAAAGAAAAACAUGAUCGAGGACUCAGAAUCUUCAGGAAUGAGUGUUUGGGUUACUCUACCAGGUAGAGAACCUAGAGCAUCUGAGGCUGUCACUGAAGGCAAUGGAAAUACAGAAAGGGUCGUUGAAGAUGCAAAUCACAAACAUCAACUAUGGCCUCAUAUCCAAUUACAGACAUGAGGACUGUAGUAGCUUUGCAUAUUUUCUCUUUGCUGGUUAUAUGUAUUUAUUUGUUUAUUCUAACAUCCUUUUUCUUCUCUUUCCUCAUUUUUAUUUUAUAUGCAAGUUGUUGGAGGUUAACUUUACAAUUUACUCUUUAGGCAACAGAAUAUUCUGUAGGAUUGUAACCGAAUUUGAGAAGUAAUUAAUGUAGCCAUAAAUAAAUUAAUUAAUAACUAAUAUAGCCAACUGUUGGGACUGUGCAUUUUCACAUUUGGAUAGCUGGUACCUUGCUAGGUAGAAAUGCAGAGUUGUUUUGUUGCUGUACGGGAGCUCAAAAGUGUGUAGAAAAGUAUGCAGAAACUGAGUAGCCAAAGCAGUUGACAAUGUGCGGUUAUCAAUUUAUUGCCUCUCAGCUCCAAAUUUACUCUUCAAUACCUGCUCUGUGAAAAUGGACUGGAUUCUUCAAGCCUUUCCUCUUUACAGUGAGUAUGAUGUGAAACGUUGUCAGUAGAGGGCGCUGGAGGAGGAAGGGGCUUCUCUUCCUGGUUCUGGCUGCUGCAUUUUGCUUUUUCUUGCUCUUGCUUUGUGGUCCAUGGGGUGUGUGUAUGUGAAAACAUUCAAUGAUGCUCAGCACCAGCUGUGCUCCAGAGCAUGCAGUCUCUCGGAGAUCUUGCCAAUCUGGCCUGGGCUCAGUGACCACCUUGCUGAGGCCCUCCUGAUGAGACACUCACACACAUAGUGGAAUCGCAACUCUCUCUGUAUACCUGCCCAUCAGCUUUGGCUUGCAUGUGCCAUGGAAGGCUAUUUCCUGCAGCCCUUCUGAUGUGGAUACCCUGCAUCUCACCCUCGUGCCUGCGGUGCCACUCCCACACUGAGUACUUGGCAACCCAGCAAACUUCUCUGCCAUCCAGUGGGAUGUAACUACAUCUCUACUGAGGUCUGAAACCCAGCCUCUGGGAGGGACCCUCCUUCCAACUUUGUCCUUCUUUAGGUACUCUCCCUCAGCCCGUGUCUGGUAUUUUCACCGUAAGCAUCUUUGCCAUAGACAUCUUUCCUGCAUGUGUUUUCACUGCAGACAUUUUCACUGCAUAACUAAUUGGCCAUAAGGCAAUUUUGUUAUCAAAGAUGAAAUAAUGAAUAAUAAAAGAGGGAUAUUAAAAAGGAUAUAAUAAAACAUGAAAAAUGAAUAAUAAAAUUAAAAAGACAUUGCAAAAUACAAAAUAUUUGAAUACAUUUAAAAUAUGUGUAGAUUCAUGGCAAUAAUGAGCAAAUAACUGAUUUUAUUUUGUGGGUUGUACCUAAGCACUUGUCUGCAAAGUCUUUCAUUCACAAUAUAUAUAUUUUUUUGCUUGUUGAUUCAUUUCCUCAUUUGGCAUCCAUCACACUUUUUCUUUUUUGCUAAAACUUCUUCCUUCAUUAAGAGAGAUAUCAGUUUCCAAAUACUAGGAUGCAUAUUUGUAACUGAGCUUUGUAUUGCAUUGUGAAAAGCCUUCUACACUGUUCUUUGUUCUUGGCUCAUGUCUGUGGAUAGAUGUUCCAGAGUUCUAUGGGAAAUGCAAAGCUAAGAUUUAUUUAAUAUAAAAAUGAGAGUAUUGUGUCAAUGGAGAAAUGAAACCACACUGUCAAGCAGUUGAAACCAAAUUGUCAAACCAAACUGUUACCCAGUUAUUUUAUCUUUUAUGGCAAAAUUGCCUUACGACCAAUUAGUUAUACAGUGAAAAUGUUCACAGCAAAAAUGCUUGUGGCAAAGAUGUCUAUGGCAAAGAUACUUGCUUAUGGCAAAAGUACCCUAAGGGUUCUUUGAUGUCUUUAUAGUUACUCUCAUCAUUGCUUAAUAAUUCUUUAUAUUAAACUUCUGUUUAAAUUCUGGUGCAGUUUCUGUUUCCUGACUGAACCCAAACUAGUACAAACUGACUAUAGGAAUUGGGUGCUGAUACAAAAAGCUUCUCAUCCAUUUUUGGCAAAAGCCCACCGUCAUUAAUUUCUCCAGGAUACCCAACUCCUAAAAGUCUCAUAAGGUAGGACAGUUUGCCUUCUGCCUCCUUGACAGAUUAUAAGCUCCACAAUAAACACUCUCAUCUUUUUCUCCAAGAUACGUGUUUCUGCCCAUCAGUCCUCCUAUAAGAACAUUGGGCAUGACGGAGAAGCUCAGCAACUUGAAAAUGAAUACCUGUUUAUAGUAAUGUCAUAUUUUUAUGGAAGUUAAAUUCAAAAGUCAGGAACAAAAUAAAAAAUUGGUUGUAUUCCAAAUCAUCCUAUAAAAUAUCGUAAGUGGUUCACAAAGCAUAAAACAUGGAUUGAUUAUCCAACACUGAAGAAUAAUGUGUGUAUAUAUAUAUAUGUGUUAACCGUACAUCAUUAACAUGCAUAUAUAAUAAAAGGCCCAUAUACUAAAUAUAAUUUCAUGAUUCAUAUUUAUACAAAAGAGUAACACAUAUAUAUUAAUUUAUGUGCAAAAGUAACACACACCUUAUAUUAAAUGUGCAUAUGAUUAUUGGCAAAUCGGAGACUCAGUCCUAAGUUAUCAGCCCUCAGGUUACUUACCAAUUAGAAAGGAAAAAAUAUCACUUUACAAUGGAAAUAUCUGGCCAUUACCACUUUAACUAAGUGAUCAAGUUUAGCAUCACCAAUAGUGAAAUGACCUGACCUCAUGUUUCUCCUCGUGUGAUACAAGAGGACACAACCUUGUCUAUGUAGUACCCUUGCUAACUUGUUUAACCUGGAUUUUACCAUGAGAAAAUAAACAGACAAAUCCAGACUAUAAGACAUUCUGUUGAACAACUAACUUAGAUUCUUAAAAAAAUCAAUGUCUAGAGAAAACAAAAAGGUGGAGGGACUGUUCCAGAUUAAGAGCCUAAAGAGACAUAGCAUCAAAUGCAAUGCAUGAACUUUGUGUCCUGCUUAAAGAAAAACCUAUAUAAGACAUUUUUGGGACAUUUGGAGGAAAUUUGAAUAUGAGUGAGUUGUGGAAUUAUUAAUUUCCUUGGGUCUGAUCGUGAUGUGUGGUUAGAAGUAUGUGGGAUGUAUUACUGUGUUUACUGAUAUGAGUGAGACACUUUUGUGUGUGGUGAUGUAUGUGUAAGACUCUGUGUAGAAGAAAAUGUCCUUGUUUUUAGGAGAUACGUGAUGACAUAUUGACUAGUGAAGUAUCAUGAUACUUGAAUUUAUUUUCAAAUGGUAGAGAGAGAUUAUCAAAAGUGGCAAGUUGUUAGUUGGUGAAUCCAGGAGAUAGGCAUGCAUAAGGGUUCUUUGUACUAUUCUUUCAACGCUUUUAGAGAUUCAAAAAUUUUCGAAAUAAACAAUUGAAGAAAAUGUGCCUAUUAGGUGACUCCACUCUAUCAUAUGGGAGAAAUAAAUGUGGGAGAGCACUGAGCCGCUUGCGGAUGUACCCAAAGACCCCACCAGAACAGGAGAACUAGGGAACCAGUUCCUCAAUUUGUUUCUGUAAGAGAAGCUUCAGGAGAAGGAAAGCAGAAUAUUCUGGUUGGGGCCGGGGAUGG
rnacentral:lncRNA from 1 species